rnacentral:rRNA from 1 species
GGUUAAGCGACUAAGCGUACACGGUGGAUGCCCUGGCAGUCAGAGGCGAUGAAGGACGUGCUAAUCUGCGAAAAGCGCCGGCGAGGUGAUAUGAACCCUUGACCCGGCGAUGUCCGAAUGGGGAAACCCAGUGCAAUCCGUUGCACUAUCGUUAACUGAAUACAUAGGUUAACGAGGCGAACCGGGGGAACUGAAACAUCUAAGUACCCCGAGGAAAAGAAAUCAACCGAGAUUCCCCCAGUAGCGGCGAGCGAACGGGGAGCAGCCCGGAGUCUGAAUCAGCUUGUGUGUUAGUGGAACGGUCUGGAAAGUCCGACGGUACAGGGUGAUAGUCCCGUACACGAAAGCACACAUGCUGUGAACUCGAAGAGUAGGGCGGGACACGUGGUAUCCUGUCUGAAUAUGGGGGGACCAUCCUCCAAGGCUAAAUACUCCUGACUGACCGAUAGUGAACCAGUACCGUGAGGGAAAGGCGAAAAGAACCCCGGCGAGGGGAGUGAAAAAGAACCUGAAACCGUGUACGUACAAGCAGUGGGAGCCUCUUUAUGGGGUGACUGCGUACCUUUUGUAUAAUGGGUCAGCGACUUAUAUUCUGUAGCAAGGUUAACCGUAUAGGGGAGCCGAAGGGAAACCGAGUCUUAACUGGGCGUUAAGUUGCAGGGUAUAGACCCGAAACCCGGUGAUCUAGCCAUGGGCAGGUUGAAGGUUGGGUAACACUAACUGGAGGACCGAACCGACUAAUGUUGAAAAAUUAGCGGAUGACCUGUGGCUGGGGGUGAAAGGCCAAUCAAACCGGGAGAUAGCUGGUUCUCCCCGAAAGCUAUUUAGGUAGCGCCUCGUGAACUCAUCUUCGGGGGUAGAGCACUGUUUCGGCUAGGGGGCCAUCCCGGCUUACCAACCCGAUGCAAACUACGAAUACCGAAGAAUGUUAUCACGGGAGACACACGGCGGGUGCUAACGUCCGUCGUGAAGAGGGAAACAACCCAGACCGCCAGCUAAGGUCCCAAAGUCAUGGUUAAGUGGGAAACGAUGUGGGAAGGCACAGACAGCCAGGAUGUUGGCUUAGAAGCAGCCAUCAUUUAAAGAAAGCGUAAUAGCUCACUGGUCGAGUCGGCCUGCGCGGAAGAUGUAACGGGGCUAAACCAUGCACCGAAGCUGCGGCAGCGACGCUUAUGCGUUGUUGGGUAGGGGAGCGUUCUGUAAGCCGUUGAAGGUGUGCUGUGAGGCAUGCUGGAGGUAUCAGAAGUGCGAAUGCUGACAUAAGUAACGAUAAAGCGGGUGAAAAGCCCGCUCGCCGGAAGACCAAGGGUUCCUGUCCAACGUUAAUCGGGGCAGGGUGAGUCGACCCCUAAGGCGAGGCCGAAAGGCGUAGUCGAUGGGAAACAGGUUAAUAUUCCUGUACUUGGUGUUACUGCGAAGGGGGGACGGAGAAGGCUAUGUCAGCCGGGCGACGGUUGUCCCGGUUUAAGCAUGUAGGCGGAGGUUCCAGGUAAAUCCGGUACCUUAUUAACGCUGAGGUGUGAUGACGAGGCACUACGGUGCUGAAGUGAUAAAUGCCCUGCUUCCAGGAAAAGCCUCUAAGCAUCAGGUAACACGAAAUCGUACCCCAAACCGACACAGGUGGUCAGGUAGAGAAUACCAAGGCGCUUGAGAGAACUCGGGUGAAGGAACUAGGCAAAAUGGUGCCGUAACUUCGGGAGAAGGCACGCUGAUGUGUAGGUGAAGCCCCUGCGGGCGGAGCUGAAAUCAGUCGAAGAUACCAGCUGGCUGCAACUGUUUAUUAAAAACACAGCACUGUGCAAACACGAAAGUGGACGUAUACGGUGUGACGCCUGCCCGGUGCCGGAAGGUUAAUUGAUGGGGUUAGCGGCAACGCGAAGCUCUUGAUCGAAGCCCCGGUAAACGGCGGCCGUAACUAUAACGGUCCUAAGGUAGCGAAAUUCCUUGUCGGGUAAGUUCCGACCUGCACGAAUGGCGUAAUGAUGGCCAGGCUGUCUCCACCCGAGACUCAGUGAAAUUGAACUCGCUGUGAAGAUGCAGUGUACCCGCGGCAAGACGGAAAGACCCCGUGAACCUUUACUAUAGCUUGACACUGAACACUGGUCCUUGAUGUGUAGGAUAGGUGGGAGGCUUUGAAGCGUGGACGCCAGUCUGCGUGGAGCCGCCCUUGAAAUACCACCCUUUAAUGGCUGGUGUUCUAACGUAGACCCGUGAUCCGGGUUGCGGACAGUGUCUGGUGGGUAGUUUGACUGGGGCGGUCUCCUCCCAAAGAGUAACGGAGGAGCACGAAGGUUGGCUAAUCCUGGUCGGACAUCAGGAGGUUAGUGCAAUGGCAUAAGCCAGCUUGACUGCGAGCGUGACGGCGCGAGCAGGUGCGAAAGCAGGUCAUAGUGAUCCGGUGGUUCUGAAUGGAAGGGCCAUCGCUCAACGGAUAAAAGGUACUCCGGGGAUAACAGGCUGAUACCGCCCAAGAGUUCAUAUCGACGGCGGUGUUUGGCACCUCGAUGUCGGCUCAUCACAUCCUGGGGCUGAAGUAGGUCCCAAGGGUAUGGCUGUUCGCCAUUUAAAGUGGUACGCGAGCUGGGUUUAGAACGUCGUGAGACAGUUCGGUCCCUAUCUGCCGUGGGCGCUGGAGAAUUGAGGGGGGCUGCUCCUAGUACGAGAGGACCGGAGUGGACGCAUCACUGGUGUUCGGGUUGUCAUGCCAAUGGCACUGCCCGGUAGCUAAAUGCGGAAGAGAUAAGUGCUGAAAGCAUCUAAGCACGAAACUUGCCCCGAGAUGAGUUCUCCCUGAGACUUUAAGUCUCCUGAAGGAACGUUGAAGACGACGACGUUGAUAGGUCGGGUGUGUAAGCGCAGCGAUGCGUUGAGCUAACCGAUACUAAUGAACCGUGAGGCUUAACCUU